rnacentral:piRNA from 1 species
UCACAGUGAGAGCAGGUGUCCCUGGA